rnacentral:lncRNA from 1 species
AUUUUAUCUGAACCCGAUUACUCAGCUGGGACAUCACUCUCAUGUAGAAACUGCUAACUCACCAGGGAUGCAGGAGGCUGGAUGCAGGACUCCCCAGCUCAUGGACCAAGCAGAGACUAACAUUGGCAGGGAUCCAAAAAAAGUCUUUGCAGCACAGGACUAUCCAUUGUGAACGGCAACCACAGUCAGCAAGGCUCUGUUCCUUUAACGUGAAGACAUUUUCCUUGUGGCGCUUGGUAUUGCACAUUUGAUCUGUGUUCCAUGCACAGCUUAGGCACUGAAAAGUAACCAGCUAACUUAGAGAUUUCACCAACAGGUCCAGAACCAUCUCCAGCUUCAGCUUGCCUUGAUUUAGCCUGCAGGGUCUGUGCUCAGUCACCGAGCCAACCUUCGAAGUUGCGGAACGGGAAAUAAGGGUCAUGGA